rnacentral:rRNA from 1 species
GUGCCAGCAGCCGCGGUAAUACGUAGGUGGCAAGCGUUAUCCGGAAUUGUUGGGCGUAAAGCGCGCGUAGGCGGUUUUUUAAGUCUGAUGUGAAAGCCCACGGCUCAAUCGUGGAGGGUCAUUGGAAACUGGAAAACUUGAGUGCAGAAGAGGAAAGUGGAAUUCCAUGUGUAGCGGUGAAAUGCGCAGAGACAUGGAGGAACACCAGUGGCGAAGGCGACUUUCUGGUCUGUAACUGACGCUGAUGUGCGAAA